CCCCUCUCAGGGUCUUGCCUGGAGAAUUUCCAGUAUUCUACCAGUCAUAAGUGCAGGAGGGAGAGUCAAACAGAGGCAUUCCCAUUCCAUUCCUAGCUUGGGCAGUGGCUAGUGAGUGGAGGGCAGUCUGCUACAUGU